AAUAGAUACCCCGGUAGUCCUGGCCGUAAACGAUGACCACUAGAUGCGGGAGGUAUCGACCCCUUCCGUGUCGCAGCUCACGCGCUAAGUGGUCCGCCUGGGGAGUACGGUCACAAGACUAAAACUCAAAGGAAUUGACGGGGACCCGCACAAGCAGCGGAGCGUGUGGUUUAAUUCGAAGCAACGCGAAGCACCUUACCAGGGCUUGACAUGCUCCUGCACCAGCGGUAAUGCGCUGUCUCCUUCGGGGGCGGGAGCACAGGUGCUGCAUGGCUGUCGUCAGCUCGUGUCGUGAGAUGUUGGGUUAAGUCCCGCAACGAGCGCAACCCACGUUUUUAGUUGCCAUCAUUUAGUUGGGCACUCUAGAGAGACUGCCGGUGACAAACCGGAGGAAGGUGUGGAUGACGUCAAGUCAGCAUGCCCCUUACGUUCUGGGCUACACACGUACUACAAUGCUACGGACAGAGGGUUGCAAGCUCGCGAGAGCAAGCUAAUCCCGUAAACCGUGGCUCAGUUCAG
rnacentral:rRNA from 1 species